rnacentral:lncRNA from 1 species
UAAUUUCAGGUUUAUAUUGCAAAUAAAUUUGUAAAUCAUUCUUCAUAUUAUUUGAUCCUAUCAUGGAUCAAAAUAUUGCUCAUAAAUAUUCGUGCCAUAGUCACUAUAAUGUGUGACAGGGCAAUCUUCAAAAUCAACAAGAUAUCAUAACUCGUAUAAGUUACCAAAAUUAAAUCAUUGGCAGAGGGCUAUUUUCGUUGGAUGCUAGCUUUAGGGUGUCGAUUUUUUCAAUUCUAGAGAUCAUACAUAGCUAUCUAAGAGCCUUUAAAAAAUUUAUAUAUUUUUCUAAAAAUAUUCAUAUAAGUAGAUAAAAAAUACUAAAUGACAUGAUCAGAUUCAUAUUUCAUAACAAAGCUAUUUUUAUUAAAGCAUUUAUAAAACUAUUUUUCAUAAUAA